UUUGCAAAAGUGUGUUACGGUCGACAAA
rnacentral:piRNA from 1 species